AGCCGGGUCCCGCGCAACGGAUGGCCGCAAACCCCGUCAGGCCCGGAAGGGAGCAGCGGUAGCGGCAUUUUCCGUGUGCCGCGGGGGCGCCUGGCUGUC
rfam:Desulfuromonadaceae bacterium GWC2_58_13 gwc2_scaffold_4882, whole genome shotgun sequence.